AUGGGAAGUCCCAGAUUCCCCGCCUCUCCUCCGCUGACCUCGGGGCCACGGCCCACGGCUGACCGCAUGCGGCACCAGCUGGACGGCGACCACUGGCUCAUCCGCCGCCACCGCCUCAGCCUCGACGUCCUGCUCGGGCACGAUCUUCACAGUGAACACAAGUUACACAACAGCCAUAUUUCUUCAAGCCACCCAUGUGCCGCAGUUUAUCGAAGCCUGAAUCUCUUCCAAGGUCUUGCCUUUUGUCUCCGGCACGAUCUUCACAAUGAAGAGAAUAGCCAUGGCACAAACAAAGGCGAAGAAGAAGAAUGUUCCUGCAAGAUGAUUUGCAUAUCAGACAAAUGUCCCUGGAUGAUUCAAGCAACACCAUAG
rnacentral:rRNA from 1 species